rnacentral:lncRNA from 1 species
CGGAGAGCUGGGCCCCUGGGAAGGAGCUGGCCAGAAGGCUGAGAAGAGGGAAUGUCUUCUGGAAAUACAUCAACUUCCCAAGAGUGGGGAAACAUCUUCCUCUGCAUCCCCAACCAGUGCCUAGGGACCAGGAAUCAACCUUUAAUGAAAGGCUUGCACUGUGUUGGAUUUGGAUCCCAUCAGCACACACUCCAUCCU